AUGAAAAAUGGCGAUGGAGUUCGCCGAAACCGCCGCGGCUGGAAUGGCCGGGGCUGAUGACUCCUGGCUGCCG
rnacentral:ncRNA from 1 species